GACGAACGCUGGCGGCGUGCUUAACACAUGCAAGUCGAACGGAAAGGCCCUGCUUUUGUGGGGUGCUCGAGUGGCGAACGGGUGAGUAACACGUGAGUAGCCUGCCCUUGACUUUGGGAUAACUUCAGGAAACUGGGGCUAAUACCGGAUAGGAGCUCCUGCUGCAUGGUGGGGGUUGGAAAGUUUCGGCGGUUGGGGAUGGACUCGCGGCUUAUCAGCUUGUUGGUGGGGUAGUGGCUUACCAAGGCUUUGACGGGUAGCCGGCCUGAGAGGGUGACCGGCCACAUUGGGACUGAGGUACGGCCCAGACUCCUACGGGAGGCAGCAGUGGGGAAUAUUGCACAAUGGGCGGAAGCCUGAUGCAGCAACGCCGCGUGCGGGAUGACGGCCUUCGGGUUGUAAACCGCUUUCGCCUGUGACGAAGCGUGAGUGACGGUAAUGGGUAAAGAAGCACCGGCUAACUACGUG
rnacentral:rRNA from 1 species